rnacentral:rRNA from 1 species
CUACUCUUGACAUCCAGAGAACUUUCCAGAGAUGGAUUGGUGCCUUCGGGAACUCUGAGACAGGUGCUGCAUGGCUGUCGUCAGCUCGUGUUGUGAAAUGUUGGGUUAAGUCCCGCAACGAGCGCAACCCUUAUCCUUUGUUGCCAGCGGUCCGGCCGGGAACUCAAAGGAGACUGCCAGUGAUAAACUGGAGGAAGGUGGGGAUGACGUCAAGUCAUCAUGGCCCUUACGAGUAGGGCUACACACGUGCUACAAUGGCGCAUACAAAGAGAAGCGACCUCGCGAGAGCAAGCGGACCUCAUAAAGUGCGUCGUAGUCCGGAUUGGAGUCUGCAACUCGACUCCAUGAAGUCGGAAUCGCUAGUAAUCGUAGAUCAGAA